GGGUGCGAUCAUACCAGCACUAAUGCACCGGAUCCCAUCAGAACUCCGCAGUUAAGCGUGCUCGGGCGAGAGUAGUACUA
rnacentral:rRNA from 1 species